UUUAUGGAGAGUUUGAUCCUGGCUCAGGACGAACGCUGGCGGCGUGCUUAACACAUGCAAGUCGAACGGAAAUAAAGGAGCUUGCUCCUUUAAAUUAGUGGCGAACGGGUGAGUAACACGUGGGCAACCUGCCCCUGACUCUGGGAUAACUACUCGAAAGAGUAGCUAAUACCGGAUACGAAAUCUGAGGACAUCCUCGGAUUUGGAAAGUUUUUCGGUUAGGGAUGAGCCCGCGGCCUAUCAGCUUGUUGGUGAGGUAGUGGC
rnacentral:rRNA from 1 species